AGGCUCUUGGUUAUGAUCUGGACAGCAUCUUUGCUGCAUCCAUCUCUGAAAAACCACAGGAUGUACUCCAGAAGCUAGCCCAGACUGCGGAUGUCUCUGGAGAUGCUGUUGUGUUGGGGUGGCCAACAUCAGCUGCUGAGGAAAAGGCACAGGAAAUGGCCGUGGCUGUUCUGAUGUCCAUUAUCAGCAAACUGUACCUACUGGACAUGUCUGACCAGGCCACUGUCCAGUCCGUG